rfam:Streptomyces autolyticus strain CGMCC0516, complete genome.
CUUCAACGAGCCUAGCCAGAGGGGCCGUUCGCGGUCCUGGCCGUAGGUGGCGAGCAGCGCCUCGGCCUC